AGAGUUUGAUCAUGGCUCAGGAUGAACGCUAGCGGGAGGCUUAACACAUGCAAGUCGAGGGGUAAGGAGGUAGCAAUACUUCCCAAGACCGGCGCACGGGUGAGUAACGCGUAUGCAACCUGCCUGUUACAGGGGGAUAGCCCGGAGAAAUCCGGAUUAAUACCCCAUAGACCUAUCGAGUCGCAUGGCUUGAUAGGUAAAGUUGAGGCGGUAACAGAUGGGCAUGCGUGACAUUAGCUGGUUGGCGGGGUAACGGCCCACCAAGGCAACGAUGUCUAGGGGUUCUGAGAGGAAGAUCCCCCACACUGGUACUGAGACACGGACCAGACUCCUACGGGAGGCAGCAGUGAGGAAUAUUGGUCAAUGGGCGAGAGCCUGAACCAGCCAUCCCGCGUGCAGGAAGAAGGCCCUAUGGGUUGUAAACUGCUUUUGCGCAUGAAGAAUGGUACCCUCGUGAGGGUAUUUGACGGUAAUGCGUGAAUAAGCACCGGCUAACUCCGUGCCAGCAGCCGCGGUAAUACGGAGGGUGCAAGCGUUAUCCGGAUUUAUUGGGUUUAAAGGGUGCGUAGGCGGUAGUUUAAGUCAGUGGUGAAAUCCUGCAGCUCAACUGUAGAUGUGCCAUUGAAACUGAAUUACUUGAGUUAUCUUGAGGUAGGCGGAAUGUGUAGUGUAGCGGUGAAAUGCUUAGAUAUUACACAGAACACCCAUUGCGAAGGCAGCUUACUAAGGAUAUACUGACGCUCAGGCACGAAAGCGUGGGGAUCGAACAGGAUUAGAUACCCUGGUAGUCCACGCCGUAAACGAUGAUAACUCGCUGUUGGCGAUACACAGUCAGCGGCUUAGCGAAAGCGUUAAGUUAUCCACCUGGGGAGUACGCUCGCAAGAGUGAAACUCAAAGGAAUUGACGG
rnacentral:rRNA from 1 species